CAAUAGCGUAUAUUAAAGUUGUUGCAGUUAAAAAGCUCGUAGUUGAAUUUCUGGUGGGUGCGCCGGUCUUCCAAGUGUUGUACUGGGCGCAGUCCGCCAUCCUUGUGGAGAGGGCUCGCAUUGAGUUGCGUGUCGGAUCUGCAUCAUUUACUGUGAAAAAAUUAGAGUGUUUAAAGCAGGCUGUCGCUUGAAUACAUUAGCAUGGAAUAAUAAGAUAGGACUUCGGUCUAUUUUGUUGGUUGCGAACCGAGGUAAUGAUUAAUAGGGAUAGUUGGGGGUAUUCAUAUUUAAUUGUCAGAGGUGAAAUUCUUGGAUUUAUGAAAGAUGAACAACUGCGAAAGCAUUUACCAAGGAUGUUUUCAUUAA
rnacentral:rRNA from 1 species